rnacentral:rRNA from 1 species
GCCUGUUUAACAAAAACAUGUCUUUAAGAUUAUAAUUUAAGGUCUGGUCUGCUCAAUGAGUAUUUAAAUGGCUGCGGUAUUUUGACCGUACAAAGGUAGCAUAAUAAUUAGUUUCUUUAUUAGGAACUGGAAUGAAUGGCUGGACGAGGGUUUAUCUGUUUUUAUUUUAUAAAUAAAACUUUAUUUUUAAGUUAAAAAGCUUAAAUUUUUUAAUGGGACGAGAAGACCCUAUAGAUUUUUAUAGGUUUAUUAAUUUUUUUUUUAGAAUUUAUUGGUAAUUGGUUAAUUUAUUUGGUUGGGGUGAUUAUUAAAUUUGUUUAACUUUAUUUUUAUUUAGACAUUAAUUAAUGGGUUUUUGAUCCGUAUUUUUUUGAUUAGAAGUUUAAAUUACCUUAGGGAUAACAGCGUUAUUCUUCUUGGGAGUUCAUAUUUGUGGAAGAGUUUGCGACCUCGAUGUUGGAUUAA